AUUGAACGCUGGCGGCAGGCCUAACACAUGCAAGUCGAACGAGUGGCGGACGGGUGAGUAAUGUCUGGGAAACUGCCUGAUGGAGGGGGAUAACUACUGGAAACGGUAGCUAAUACCGCAUACCAUCGGAUGUGCCCAGAUGGGAUUAGCUAGUAGGUGGGGUAAAGGCUCACCUAGGCGACGAUCCCUAGCUGGUCUGAGAGGAUGACCAGACACACUGGGACUGAGACACGGUCCAGACUCCAACGGGAGGCAGCAGUGGGGAAUAUUGCAAAAGGGGCGAAAGCCUGAUGCAGCCAGGCCGCGGGUAUGAAGAAGGGCUUCGGGUUGUAAAGUACUUUCGGCGGGGAGGCGUUACCCGAAGAAGAAGCCCCGGCUAACUCCGUGCCAGCAGCCGCGGUAAUUC
rnacentral:rRNA from 1 species